ensembl:lncRNA
CUGGGUUUCAGGCACCAUUGUGGUUCCUGGAGCCUCUGAUCUCAGGUACCACAGCAGUUCCUGAAGCUUUUGGUCACAGGCACCACCCACCACUGCUGGGCAAGGAGGAGGGGCUGAGUCACAAGUGCCACUGCAGUCCCUUGGAGGCCCUGGUCUCAAGUGCCAGUGUGAUUCCUGGAACCUCAGGUCAUGAGCUCUGCAGCCACUGCUGGGGGUCCUGAGGUCUUCGAUGCAGUCCCACUGCUGAGAGGGCUGGGAUUGAAGUGGAACUUCUCCAGGCCAGUGUGCUGACUUCUGACCAGCCUCAUCUGAAAGCACACCCUUUACAGACACAGACACCCUGAGGUACUGGGCCUCCAGCUUGCUCUAGGAGGACAGAGGACGACGGGUUAAGUUUGUUUGACAUAACUAGAAGGGGCUGUGCCUCUUCCCAGAAGAGCAAGGCCCAUUCAUGGCGAUUAGCAAGGCCCACCACUUCUAGCUGGCUUUUGCUUAUAGCAGCUGAGACACUGUUUCUUUCAGUAGAGGGAAAUCAAUGGGCUGGUGAUCCAACACUUCGGACUCCAAAGAAACCAGGACAGGUGACAAAGGUGCCCCAGGGUGAGACUCCUGCUUGCUGUGCCCAUGCCGGAGCUACGUCUUCUCUGAAAGCCAGCAGCAAAAGUGCUGACAUUUCGAUAUUUCCUUGUUGGUGUUCACUACUCCACAUCAAAGGGGGAACUCUGUCUGGGCAGGCCCCAGGCAUUCUGAGUGAAGAUGAGAGCAGAAGUGUCUAAAAGUGUAUGGUGGUGUCCCAUGAGACUGCAACAGAUGUGCUCUGACUGAGAUCACCCCAGCUGCUCUGAAUAAUGGUAGGAACAGAAAUAUCCAGAGCACAGGUAUGGAGCUGCCUUCUCCCAUUGUACCCCCCAGGUUCUGGACUGUGCCCAGGUGCUCUGACAGCAGCAUUUCCAAUCGCAGACAUGGUGCUAGCCUCUCAGACCGCGGCAGAUGUGCUUUGGCCAGGUGAACAGUAGGUGUCUGAUGGGAGGCAGGAACGGAAGUAUCUCCUGGCAUACCUUUUCUUCUCAGUGGCGCAGGUUUUACCAUAGUAACAGGUUUCCUCUGAGUAGGUGGGCCCCAAGUGCUCAGACCAGAUACAGGAAGACUCCAAAUGCAGUUGUGGUGUUGGCCCUUCCCGUCACAAAACACGUGCUCUCUUUAGCUAGGACCCAGGAGCUCUGACUGUAGGUAGGAACACAAAGGCCUCCAAGCACAGGUGAGAUGCUGGCUCCUUCAACUGCCACAAACUGUAGGCACAAAAAGAAGUAUCUCCAGCAUGGGGAUGGUGCUGUCCUCUUAAUUGAAACAGAUGUUCUCUGGCUGGACAGGUCCCAGGUGAUCACAAGGAGGAACAGAGUAUACAGCACAUGUUCCUUCUCAGUGAUGCUGUUUCCUCCAGUGGUAGUAGGUAUGUUUUGGCUGGACUGGCUCUAGGUUCUCUCAUUAUAUGUGGGAAGGAAAGUGUUUCCUAGGACAGAUUUGCUCUCAGUAAUGCUGGCUCUCCGAUUUUAACAGGGAUACAAAAGGUUGACAGGACCCUGGUGCUCAGGUCUGAGUCUCCCCCAACAUGAGCCAUGGUUCUGGGUGUCCCACUUGUCCUUGCUCCAAAGCUGAGUGUUCAAGACAUGGUGCUGGGGCCUCAGACAUACACAAUGACCUCAAAGCUGCCACUACCCGUAAGGGCUGAAAAUCUCAUAAAUCCAAAUGGGUCUGGUGUGGUGUUGGCAAAAGAUGAGCAGGAGUCCUCAGUGCUAUGCCUGCUGGUGGAUGAGCCAAUAGGGAAACAGCUGAAGUGCCACCAAAGGCUGCCUGGGUGCUGACAGUGAUGCCAAAGUUGGAAGAUGGGAAUGUCAAACUCCCAAAAGGUGACUGAGUUGUGCUCCUAUUGGGUUCCAUGGCUGCAGGAUAGGUUAAGUGUGGAGAUUUUGCUUGGGCUGCCAGGUUUCCCAAAGGGAAAGAGUUGUCAAAGCUGUCAAGAGGAGGCAGGAAGAUAACAGACUAGGAAUUGAACAUGGUACCCACCUAGAUUUCACUGGAGUCAAAGGCAGGCUUGGAUGCCGAGUCUGAAGAGGGGCUGGUUAUUGGAGUGAGGUGACUGCAGAAUCAGUGGUCGCUGGGCCAGAAAUGACAGUGGCAUGGGGGAGAGUGUCUCCCUAUCGCUGCCAACAUAGGCUCCUGAAUUUCAGCUGAAGGGUGGUUCCUGCCCCAAAGGGAAGGUUGAAAGUUCAGGUACAGCUGCUGACCAUAAAAGCAGGUGGGCUGGUGACAACUGCGACCUUUGCGGGGGAUAUCUGCUGCACGUUGCGGGUGCUUGGUCAAAUGGGAGGGAGCUCACGUGGGAUCCUGGUGGAGACCUGAAGAUGGAAGCCCGGGAAGGCAGGGCGGUGUUGAUAUCAGUUGUAGCAAAGUCCACAGCACCCCAGGAGGUCCAAUCUGAAGAUGGGCAGACUGGGAUGGUGGAAGUGAUUGCAGAGGCAGUGAUGGGCUGGCUGGUGAAGAUAGGGAUACUGGUGAAAGGGACUUGAGGAGUCUGUGAGAAAAAGGGAGGAAAAUCCACAUACACAGGUGUAGGUGACUCAAUUCUACAGUAGGUAGGCUGUAAGGGGAGGGAUGGGUGCUGGGAGGUUAAGAGAAGUAGAAGAUCCUGCAGCGGUGACCAAGGGACUGGAAUGCAAAGGGCCUCUCUUCUCAUUAUUAAGGGGAGCUCCCAAUAUGGGUUGGAAUCUAAAGUGACAAACAGCAGGAAUAGCAAAAGAAGGAGAGUUAGAGAUUGCACUUCUCAUCUUAUGAUCAGCAUCUGGUGUGGGGGAUGGAUGGGUACAGGGGCAGACAGGAUUGGUGGCCCAACAGACGGGUCAGGCAAAUCAGUGACUGCUAAUUUGAUAGCAUCCAGAAUCUGCAAGGGGGAAGUGGCCAAUGGCAAUGUAACUGCAGUCCCCAAAACAAACAGGGAGAAAAAACAGGCAGGCUGGGCGGAACUGAUGUUGGAAGUGCCUCAGUUUUCUCCUCCAACCUUGUGGUUCCAUUGGCUCAGUGUUCUUCUCCAAGCCGAGGUCUCCAGCAAUGACCAUAUAAGAAAGAUGGGAGGUGGGGGCAGCUCACCUUGACCCCACAACAGUGGCAGUGGCAGCAGUAGUGGCAGCAAUAGUGGCAUUGAAAAUUUCCAUUUACAGAGCCUGCAACUGACAGACGUGGCUGGUGACUUUCUUUGACAGACUGUCUGAAAGCUUUCCUCUCUGAGUCUUCUUCUUUGACUUCAAUAAGGCUGGAGAGCUGAGUCAGUGGCCUUCAUCAAGCUCUUCCCUUGUCAGCCUCUCCGGCAACGGGAAGCUAGGCUGGGCCAGACAGUCCUGCCGCACCUGGAUCAGUGGUACAAAGCAGCAUUAAGCCUCUGGCAGGGCUGUGUGAGCCGGUGAUGGUACAGCCCUUGGUGAAAGAGCUCGUGGAAGACGUCUGUGAUAUCUUACCUAAGCUAUCUUCUUGGAAUAGAGGCGCAGGAGUGCUCCCAAAUACAUGACAACUCCACUCGUCACCGGGAGGCUGGAUGCUGAUGGUGCAUUUCCAUGGCUAUGGGGGCCCCUUUUCUGAUAGUCCUGCCUUUGGACACCUUUUGAUUCUCUUCCUCCUUCAACAUCGCCUCCCCUCACACACCUCGUGUCUUCAGCUCAGUCUCCUUUAAGCAAGGAUCUGGAGGGUGAUUGCAUGGCCCAGGCCUUGCAGAGAUGACUGCUUGAUAAAGUGGCAAAGGAGGAGGAAAGUCAGUUUGUCCAUGGAGGAGGGAUUUUUACCAUUCCAGAGUGGCUGGACACUUGGAGGUACAAGAAAGCAGCAGCAGCUUCUUCAGAGAGUGCCCUCGGGACCCUCAGAGAGAAGCACUGAGGCUGCCUAAGCUGAUAUGGCCUCUUAGGAGGCAUGUAACACCCAGGGGCAAAGGCACUGGAUCCAGGUGGAACUGCCUAGGAAAAGGGCCAACGAGAGGCACAGAGGUAGCGGGGUGAUCUCAGCCAGAAGGGGAACACAAGUGUGGCUGGGGCAGGGCAGGGCAGGAGCGCAGCUUGCUGAGGAUGUUGCCCAGGAAGGGCAGUUUGUUCACUGUCUGAUCCUGGGGAUAUAGACUCAAUUUGGGGGGCUCUCCUAGGUAACUGCUCCUUCAUGGUGAACCAUGUGCCAUUCCCCCAGAAGGUGGUAACACAGCAUUGGAACAUGCGAUAGAAAAGUGCACUAGCUAAGCACGCAUCAGAGAAGGGCAUAAGGAAGAAAUGCCAAGGCAUGGGGCGAGGCCCAGAGGCCAAACCUCAGCAGGACUUUCUGGCGCUUCCUGACAGCCUCCUGCUGGUCGCAGGUGUUUGGCACUAAACGGAUCUGGUGGUUUGAUGAGACUGUUCAUGACUGAAUUCCAAGAGCCUGCAUAACGGUCACUGCCAAGUCACCGUGUCUGCAGGCACCACAGUGCCUGACUUGAGGGCAGGGCCAUAGGCAAGCUGUGUUCAGGGGUCUGCUAGUCCUUUUCCCGAGUCAGCCAGAGCAGGAGAACAGCCUAGCCCUGCCAGGGUGGGGGCCUGGCUUGUGGAAGGUUGGGGUCGAGAGAUGUGUUGGCGAGGCGAGGGGUCAUCUCUGUCUCACAUGGUUACUGUGUGCCCAGUGUGGGAUGGCUGCAGCAGGGCAUGUGCUAAGGUGGGGGCAGGGGGAGAGGUGAAUUUACCCCAGCUUCUUCCUUUCAGGCAACCACCACGGAUGCCCCCAGGUAACUCCUACCACCUACCCCCACCCCAUCCAUGCUGGUAGGUGAAGGCUUGGAACACCACCUCCUCCAGAGGCCACUCGAGCUCCUCUCCAGUUCCUGGAGUCACACACACCUUUUCUGUGGCCACUCUGGGAAGGCGAGUGUCACGAGCAUCACCAGCUGGACUCAGAAGGUUUCUGAGGCAGAGACGUGGUUACUGUACCACAACACAUCCUCUCCCGGCAGGCAGUUUCUGUUCACUUAUUUUUACAAAUUUGGUAAAACAGUGUUUAAGUCACAGGUGGUAGUGGCCCAGUCAGAAUCUGAACCCAGGUUGAUUCCAGAGCUCACGUGUUCAACCACCAGACGGCGGUACCUCCUCAACAGGGCCCAUCAUGCGUUACCAUUUUUUUUUUUUAAAGAUUUUAUUUUUUCCUUUUUCUCCCCAAAGCCCCCCGGUACAUAGUUGUGUAUUCUUCGUUGUGGGUUCUUCUAGUUGUGGCAUGUGGGACGCUGCCUCAGCGUGGUCUGAUGAGCAGUGCCAUGUCCGCCCCCAGGAUUCAAACUAACGAAACACUGGGCCGCCUGCAGCGGAGCGCGCGAACUUAACCACUCGGCCACGGGGCCAGCCCCCAUGCGUUACCAUUUUUGACACCUACUACAGUUACAUAUCCAUAAUGAACACAGCCUCGGCCUAUGAGAAGGUCUUCUUUGGCUCAACUCAUCAGUCAACCUUUGGCCAGACUGGGCUCCAGUCUCUCAGAGAAGGUAGGACAGGGCCUGCAAUUGGUGACACAUCCCUAUGAGGCAUCUCUCCUCAGUAUGAGCCUUGCAGCAAACCGUGCAUCUGUGUGAGAUCUUCUCCAGGUACACGGACACCAGAUGCACAUCAGAUGGGUGCUGGAUCUUUCACAGCAAACCUUAUGCCCCAAGGGCACGAAUAUCUCUUGUAACAAUUCCAUAAACCAGCUUUCAGGGUCCCAGCUGAAAUGAACAACUUACCGAUAUUAAGUUUUCUAGUCCACAAGAGUGUGGUACAACUUUCCCUAUUUUGGGGUAUUUUAAAAAAUCUUUCUCUCAGAUAAUGUUUUGUAGCAGGGUUCCAAAAAUUACAGCUCAUGGGUCAAAUUUGGCCCACAGCCUAUUCUUGUAAUGCCAAUGAGCUUAAAAUGGUGUUAACAUUUUAAAAAGGCUGUAAAAACCAAACAAAACAGAAAAACAGAAGAAUAUGCAACAGAGACCAUACAUAAACUGCAAAGCGUAUAACAUUUCCUAUCUGGUCCUUCACAGCAAAAGUUUGCCAAUCCCUGUUCUGUACUUUUUGGUGCAAAGGUCUUGUACAGUAUUUGAUAAUUUAUUACUGGUACUAUAUGAGGUUUUUAAAAUGAUAUUGUAGAUGCUAUCUUUUAAAUUUUAGUUUUCAGUUGUGUACUGGUAGCAUAUAGAAUAUGCAAUUGGCUUAUACAUAUUGAUCUUGUAUGCUGGAACGUUGCUAAAUUCACUCCAUCCUUCCGUUAGUUUGUAGAUUUCUUAUGAUUUUCUACAAACUCAUUCAUAUUUUCUGUGAAUAAAGAGAGUUUUACAUCUUC